rnacentral:lncRNA from 1 species
CUGGUGUUUGCUAACAAAUUUAAAUCCUGGAUUCAUGCAUAAACUACAUCGGAUCGAAGCAUGCUGUCACUUGUGUAUCAGACAUAAAAAGUAAGCUAAAACAACAAAUCAUGCAUAUUCAAACAUACACUCAUUCCUUGAUAGUCUACUAUGUAUCCAGAUCUCUAAUAAUGAUGCACAAGAAAAUAUCCAAAUACAUGUGAACCCGCUAAGCUAAGUCGAAUGUCCAUGUUAUAAAUAUUACAAUCAUUACAUCUCCAUUACAGCCAUAACAUGCUUUAACUAGAGCUGGAAAUAGAACUAUAUUAUGAACACUAAAUCAUGACAUAAAAAAACUAGUUGAAGUAGAAUCGUAGAUGAGAAUUGAAACUCAAACAUUGGGGCAUCUAAUUUCAUUCAGCAUUUACACUCCCAUUCCAAAGAUUCAAAAAUGUACCUGAAUAUUGAAAAAAAACAAAAGGAAAGAGGAGUUCAGCAAAACGUAAACAGAUCAGCAGCUCAAAACAGCAACAAACGACUUCUUAGACCAAAUUAAACCCAGAAAACCAGCAAUCCUUCGAAAACUUUGAAGCUUCAACUAGUUGAGAGCAGCCAAGACACAAUUCUAAGCCAUUUUUGUACCAAAUAAUGCAGAAAACUUUGACUAUUAUUUUUAGGGUAAGGAAUUCCGAUGUAUUUUCAGGACCUUAGUGCAGAGAAUAGUGCUUGAAAAUCUAUUUUUCUUCAGAGUGAAGGAAAUGACACUAUCUUAUAGGCCUCUAAGGCCAUUUUCUCUAAAACCAAUUCAGGAAAUAUUCCCCAGCCUGCAAAAAUCAUAUUCUAACUGCCUGCGACAGCUUGUUGUCCCUUAUUGGCUCAUUAUAUUUGUGCUAACCAAAUAGGGACAACUACCCUCUUCUCUAGAAGCUUCUAAAUACAGAAAUUACUGACAGGUCCCUAUUUCAUUUUCCAACUUAACCCUAAGUUUCAAUUGUUCAAUUAAACCCCCCCUAAGUUUCUACUAUUACAAACCAAGGCAAACAAUUCCAAACCAGAAACAAACGGCAACAAAGAACAAAUGGCAUCAACCCUAAAACUUUUAGCUAAACCUAGGCUUUCUUAGCAAUGAAUUGAAGUCAGGAAUAAUGCAAAAACAGAGAUAUUUACCUAGUACUACCAUAAAUCAAGAAUUGAAUAAGCUAACAUUAUUAGGUCAAGGAAUCGCAUUAACAAAAGAAAAACUAGAUAAACAUGUUGACUUCAAACUUAAACUAAUUAACAGACCCUAAAACUACUGACUAAAUAUGUGGAAGCAAGAACAAAGAAAAAACAAAAACCUGAUAACCCAAGAUUAUGACUAACUGACGCUCUUUAAUUAAAUGACAAAUAGAUGGCUACGGGUCAUUAUGUGUAACAUAUAAUCAGAAAUUCACUAGAAGAAAGAAAUGAAAACAGAACUAGAAGCGAAACAAAACAAAAAAAAUAAAAAAAAAAAGAAGAAGAAAGACAAAGAAAAAGGGAUUAGUUUUACCGGAUAGAGCCAAUGGCUAAAAUGACCCAAUCGAGCAAAGGUGACGAAACUUGGCUAGGCAUCAGUGCUUUGACGAGGCUUGAAACUGACCUAAACGAUUAUUCUGGUCAAGAAUAACCUAUUUGGGCGAGCUUCCAACCAAGACGAACAAAACUUCAAAGAAAUC